UUUGGUCACAUUUUCCUCCUUUGUUCUUAGUUCAAGUACUUUGACAGCUACUCCUCUUUUUCUGCUUUACAAGAAAGAUUCCCAUUUCUUUCAAAUUGGAUAGUGGAUUUUGGAACCCUUUUUCUUAGAUUAGCCACUUUUGUUAUGAGAAAGAACCAGAUGAACUUAAUAAGAAGGAUUAGCCAUAAUGGUUCAAUUGAUGGUAC
rnacentral:lncRNA from 1 species